UUCUGUAAGAUGUUCAUAUUUCUUAGAUAUUGUAUAUAUGUUUUGUUGAAAAGGUAAUGGAAUAAAACUUUAUUAUAACGUUUACUUAUAAAGUUUCCAUGUAUAUCUAAAAACGUUAAUAUACCAUAUUGCCGAUGUAGUCUUUACAUUUAUUACCAUUUAGUAUCAUACUAUGUUGAACAAGUAAGAAAUGUUUAUAAUUUAUAGUAUAUUUGUUUCAGACUCGAUGAAUUGAGGAAAGAACUAAAGGAUAAAGAAGAAGUAUUAAAACAACGUCAAAUGGAAGAAGAACGACAUCAAGUAGAAGAAGGACUACGUAAAUUGGAAGAGCAGUAA